ensembl:lncRNA
AGGAAAUUAUAGCAAUGUUUUUAGUUGCUAUUUCUGUGCUCAGAUUUAUGGAGACACCCCCCAGUUGCAGUAUUUCAGAGGCACACUUACAACACUAUGAUGACCAUCUACAAUACUUUAGGGCAAACAAGACUAUAGACAGAGAACUCAUGCUUUCUGAAUGCAUUGUCUGAGCAUAAGGGACACCCGUGGUGGAAUGACUCGUGCCUGCCUGGAGAUGUAUAUACAAUUAACCGCAUGGAGUGUUCCAUAUCUCCUCUCAAACAGAUCAAAGAGAGGAUUGAUUUAUGUACAAGUGGCCCACAGGGAAGAAACAGUUGAGGUGUAGUAGCUCUUUGAAGAAAUAUCACAGAAAGCAGAAUUAACAUGGAAACACAGGAGAGUGAGAAUGGCAGCAGGGUAGGGGAUUGUUACAGCUGAAGUAAUCCUUACUUGCAAAUUUCUUCUGCCUUUUGAUCUGUCAGCAAGUCCCUCUUCACAGCAGAUGCAAUUUCCAAUACGUUCGCAGCAACAGAGAUCUCUGCGGAAGUUGAAAAUGAGCAGUACUGACAGUCUAAUGUGUGAAGUUGAAGAGAGAUGUCUUGGAAAUUUGGGGCCCAAAUGGUACAAAGAAAAAGAAAAAUUGAAAAAAUUACAACAAUAUUUAAUUUACAAGUAUCUUUGUGAGUAUGUAAAAUGUAUAGUAAAUAGAGUUUUGGACAAAGGUCUUGGAACUAAGAAAGAUACGUAUUUUCUUUUUAGUAUCAUAGCAAACUACCCACCCAUUAAACUCCCCAGCCUCUGUUUUAAGAAGCUCAAGAGUUUGCCAGAACAUCAGAACACAAAAGAUCUGUAGAAAAUAUAGAUCUGCUAUUAGCAGCAGCAAAAUGCAGUAGGUCUGAUAGAAACUGUGCAAACACCCACACACAUAAAAAUCUGUUUUUGACUUUUACCACUGAUAAUCUUCCUCUCAAAAUCAAGGUGUUAUGUUCACAUCAGUAAAGAACAUCUUUCAUGAUUUGAUGCUCCAGACACAGAGCUGAAGAUGUAGAUUUCUCCUCUUUCUCCCCUCCUAUGUAAUGUUUUUUUCUCUCCUCUUCAUCCUCCAAAAAGAAAAAUGAGGCUUGAUGGAGCGUUUAGUUGUUGCUUUUUUUUUUGGUAGGAACUGUCUGUUAGGGCCAUGGAGAAGAUUGCCCAGGACACCCGAAGGCAUUAUUUUAUGCUAGUCAGCUGCAAGGGAUGGAAGUAGUUGGAAACUACAGAAGAAUCUGUGCUGAACACAGCUCCAUGGAGGCUACCUGCAAAAUUAGCAUGCUAACUGCGACAACAGUGAGAUGUGGAGUUGGAUUUGUUAUUACCUUAUUUGGGAGAAGGCAUAGAGAAGCAACACUCUCAAUAGCAUGUAACUGUUUCGAAAGGGAAUGUGUGUGUUUGGGGAGAUGUAGGUAGCUAGGUAGUGGUAACAGAAUUUAGCUUUCCUAAAAAUACCGUCAAGGGGCCUACCAGAGUAAGGUAGUAGUUUCAACAAACUACAAGAAGUAGAAGAGUGGGGUGAUAGAGGCAGCCUGGAAUACAAGAUAGUCAAGAUCAUACUACAGUUGUAUUUCUUAAACAAUACGCUUAUAUUAAUUAUAUGAAUUUGACAAAAGCAAAGAGCUGCUACCUGUACCUGGAUACAGAUGGAUUAUUGCUAAAACUUGAGUACAUAACCAGAUAGGUACUGACAGUUCACUGAGUUUCCCUUCACUUCCUCUGACUCUCCAUUUAUGAGAAGGAAAAUAACUUCUGAACAAUAGUGAACUAUCCAUAUAAUAGCCUGUUUUUUACUGAUUUCCUAGUACAGAUCUGGAUCUUGAAAUAUUUUCUUGCCAUCAGACCACAGCAGCUUUAAACUGCCUCCUGGUCCUUGGUGGUAUAUGCUGUCCAACCUUUACUUACUGUUCUUUUGAAAGCUGGGGCCAGUAGAUGCUGGGUAAAAGGCAGGUUAUCAUGGAUGCUACAGUGCUAAGACUAUCUCAGGUACUCCCUGACGAAAUCCUGGUAUGCAGGGCAGAGCACUCAUCAGAUGCUGUGAUAAUUUAGCUUUCAUUGAUGGAUGUCAGAGUGCAUCUGGACUUAUCAUGCGGUACUCUCUGUAUAAUAAGAUACAUUUGUUAUCAGGGUCAUACUCCACUAUUUUACUGGAAAAGUGAUUUUUUAUUUAUUUUCCUGGGGAAAAAAAAAAAAACAAAAAACAAAAAAACAAACUUUGAGUAAUCUUAGCAUACAAAAGAGAAUGUCAUUUGAUAUUUUUACUUAUUCAUUGCA